AAAGGCUUGGUCCUGACUUUUCUAUCAUCCCCAGCUAAGCUUACACAUGCAAGUAUCUGCCCUCCCGUGAGAAUGCCCCACAGUUCCCCUACUCGGGAACAAGGAGCUGGUAUCAGGCACAACCUCAUAAAUUUGCCCACGACACCUUGCUUAGGCCACACCCCCAAGGGACACCAGCAGUGAUAAACAUUAAGCCAUAAGUGAAAACUUGACUUAGUUAUAGCUUUUAGGGCCGGUAAAACUCGUGCCAGCCACCGCGGUUAUACGAGAGGCCCAAGUUGAUAGACAUCGGCACAAAGAGUGGUUAAGCAACCCAACUAAAAACUAAAGCCGAACGCCCUCAAGACUGUUAUACGUGUUCGAAGGUAUGAAGCCCAACUACGAAAGUGGCUUUAACUACACCUGAACCCACGAAAGCUGUGAAACAAACUGGGAUUAGAUACCCCACUAUGCCCAGCCCUAAACUUUGAUAGUCCAAAUAUACCCACUAUCCGCCCGGGAACUACGAGCUCCAGCUUAAAACCCAAAGGACUUGGCGGUGCUUAAGAUCCGCCUAGAGGAGCCUGUUCUAGAACCGAUAACCCCCGUUAAACCUCACCCUCUCUUGUUUUAACCGCCUAUAUACCGCCGUCGUCAGCUCACCCCGUGAAGGUCAAGUAGUAAGCAGAAUUGGUAAGACCCAAAACGCCAGGUCGAGGUGUAGUGCAUGAGAGGGGAAGAAAUGGGCUACAUUUCCUAACCAGGAAAUACGAAUAAUGUACUGAAACAUACAUUUAAAGGAGGAUUUAGCAGUAAAUGAAAAACAUGAGUGUUCCAUUGAAAUAGGCUCUAAAGCGCGCACAUACCGCCCGUCACUCUCCCCGAAAUACAACAUCAUUAUACAUAAACAACUACUACACAACGAGGGGAGGCAAGUCGUAACAUGGUAAGUGUACCGGAAGGUGCACUUGGA
rnacentral:ncRNA from 1 species